ACCGAAAUAGCUCAGUUGGGAGAGCCUUAGUCUAUAGAUCGAAAAGUCGCCGAUUCGAUCCCGGGUUCCGGAA
rnacentral:tRNA from 1 species